rnacentral:rRNA from 1 species
GCAAGGGCAGACGGUGGAUGCCUUGGCUCUCGGAGGCGACGAAGGACGUGAUAAGCUGCGAAAAGCCCGGGGGAGGCGCAAAUAGCCGUUGAUCCCGGGAUAUCCGAAUGGGGCAACCCGGCAGGUUGAAGGCCUGUCAUCCCGAAAGGGAGGCGAACGUGGGGAACUGAAACAUCUAAGUACCCAUAGGAGGAGAAAAUAAACAAUGAUUCCGUAAGUAGUGGCGAGCGAACACGGAAGAGCCCAAACCCAUGUCGUCUAGGCGACACGGGGGUUGUAGGACCACGACGUGGCAAGAUAGAGUCAAGUGGAACGCCUUGGAAAGGGCGACCGUAGAGGGUGAUAGUCCCGUACACGACUGACGAUUGAAGCCUAGUGGUAUCCUGAGUAGCGCGGGGCACGAGAAAUCUUGCGUGAAUUAGCGGGGCCCAUCCCGUAAGGCUAAAUACUCCCGAGAGACCGAUAGCGAACCAGUACCGUGAGGGAAAGGUGAAAAGAACCCCGAGCAGGGGAGUGAAAUAGACCCUGAACCCGUCUGCCUACAAGCGGUCGGAGCGUCGUAAUGACGUGACGGCGUGCCUUUUGCAUAAUGAACCUACGAGUUACCUUCCCCGGCAAGGUUAAGUACCUAAGGUACGGAGCCGAAGCGAAAGCGAGUCUGAACAGGGCGCCAAGUCGGGGGGGGUAGACGCGAAACCGAGUGAUCUACCCUUGGCCAGGUUGAAGGUUGGGUAACACCAACUGGAGGACCGGAUGGGUAAGCGUUGAAAAGCUUUCCAAUGAGCUGAGGGUAGGGGUGAAAGGCUAAUCAAACUCGGAGAUAGCUCGUACUCCCCGAAAUGCAUUUAGGUGCAGCCUCUUUAUAGUAUAUCGUGAGGUAGAGCGACUGAUUGGAUGCGAGGGCUUCACCGCCUAUCAAGUCCAGAUAAACUCCGAAUGCGCGAUAUAUAUUUACAGGGAGUGAGGGCGCGGGUGCUAAGGUCCGUGUCCGAGAGGAGAAGAAUCCAGACCACCGGCUAAGGCCCCCAAAUGAUCGUUAAGUUGAACUAACGAGGUCGGAUCGCAGAGACAGCUAGGAUGUUGGCUUGGAAGCAGCCAUUCAUUUAAAGAGUGCGUAACAGCUCACUAGUCGAGCGAUCUGGCGUGGAUAAUAAUCGGGCAUAAACGAUCUGCCGAAGCCGUGGAUGUCGCAAGACAUGGUAGGGGAGCAUUCCAUGCGGCGUCGAAGAUGAGGGAUGACCCUUGUUGGAGCGCAUGGAAAAGCAAAUGUAGGUAUGAGUAACGAUAAGGGGGGCGAGAAACCCCCCCGCCGAAAGACCAAGGUUUCCUGAUCAACGCUAAUCGGAUCAGGGUGAGUCGGGACCUAAGGCAAAGCCGAACGGCGCCGCCGAUGGAAGAAUGGGUUAAUAUUCCCAUACUGCCUCAUGGAGUGACGUGGAGACGGAGAAGUGACAGUCCUGCCGGCUGACGGAAUAGCCGGUUGAAGGGUGUAGAUAUUGAUUCCCGUAGGCAAAUCCGCGGGGAGAGUCGAACCUGAGAGUAUACGGAGCGCUUGCGCGACGUAAUAUGGACGUAACCAUGCUCCCGAGAAAAUCCGCUAAACUUAUCCAUGCGGCACCCGUACCGUAAACGGACACACGUGGUCGGGUUGAGAAUACUGAGGCGCUCGAGUGAUUCACGGUUAAGGAACUAGGCAAAUUGACCCUGUAACUUCGGGAUAAAGGGUCCUCGUCGUAAGGCGAGGCGCAGAGAAUAGGUCCAGGCAACUGUUUAACAAAAACACAUGGCUGUGCUAAAUGGAAACAUGACGUAUACAGCCUGACACCUGCCCGGUGCCGGAAGGUUAAGAGGAGAUGUCAUCCGCGAGGAGAAGCGUUGAAUUGAAGCCCCGGUAAACGGCGGCCGUAACUAUAACGGUCCUAAGGUAGCGAAAUUCCUUGUCGGGUAAGUUCCGACCUGCACGAAUGGUGUAAUGAUCUGGACACUGUCUCAACCGUGAGCUCGGUGAAAUUGUAGUAUCGGUGAAGAUGCCGAUUACCCGCGAUGGGACGAAAAGACCCCGUGAACCUUUACUAUAGCUUUACAUUGAGUUUGGGCAGACGAUGUGUAGGAUAGGCCGGAGGCUUUGAAGCAGGUACGCCAGUAUUUGUGGAGCCGACGUUGAAAUACGGCCCUUCGGUUGUUUGAGUUCUAACUCCUAGUUAGGAGGACACUGUAUGGUGGGUAGUUUGACUGGGGUGGUCGCCUCCAAAAGCGUAACGGAGGCUUCUAAAGGUGCCCUCAGACCGAUUGGUAACCGGUCGCAGAGUGUAAUGGCAUAAGGGCGCUUGACUGGGAGACAUACAAGUCGAUCAGGUAGGAAACUAGAGCAUAGUGAUCCGGUGGUUCCGCAUGGAAGGGCCAUCGCUCAAAGGAUAAAAGGUACUCCGGGGAUAACAGGCUGAUCAUUCCCAAGAGCUCAUAUCGACGGAAUGGUUUGGCACCUCGAUGUCGGCUCGUCACAUCCUGGGGCUGGAGAAGGUCCCAAGGGUUGGGCUGUUCGCCCAUUAAAGUGGCACGCGAGCUGGGUUCAGAACGUCGUGAGACAGUUCGGUCUCUAUCUAUCGUGGGCGCAGGAGAUUUGAGGGGCUCUGACACUAGUACGAGAGGACCGUGUCGGACGUACCACUGGUUUACCGGUUGUCCCGCCAGGGGCACCGCCGGGUAUCUAAGUACGGAUCGGAUAAGUGCUGAAAGCAUCUAAGUACGAAGCCGGCCUCAAGAUUAGAUCUCCCUCAAGGGUGGUUAUAGACGAUGACCUUGAUAGGCCACAGGUGUAAGGGCGGCGACGUCCGAGCCGAGUGGUACUAAUAGCCCGGGACUUUCCUCA